rnacentral:rRNA from 1 species
CAGUAGCCGCGGUAAAACGUAGGGCGCAAGCGUUGUCCGGAAUUAUUGGGCGUAAAGAGCUCGUAGGCGGUCUGUCGCGUCUGGUGUGAAAUCCCGAGGCUCAACCUCGGGCUUGCAUCGGGUACGGGCAGACUAGAGUACGGUAGGGGAGACUGGAAUUCCUGGUGUAGCGGUGGAAUGCGCAGAUAUCAGGAGGAACACCGAUGGCGAAGGCAGGUCUCUGGGCCGCAACUGACGCUGAGGAGCGAAAGCAUGGGGAGCGAACAGGAUUAGAUACCCCCGUAGUCCCUGUCUCUUAUAC